UACGUAGGGUGCAAGCGUUAAUCGGAAUUACUGGGCGUAAAGCGUGCGCAGGCGGUUUUGUAAGUCUGACGUGAAAUCCCCGGGCUCAACCUGGGAAUUGCGUUGGAGACUGCAAGGCUAGAAUCUGGCAGAGGGGGGGUAGAAUUCCACGUGUAGCAGUGAAAUGCGUAGAGAUGUGGAGGAACACCGAUGGCGAAGGGCAGCCCCCUGGGCCAAUACUGACGCUCAUGCACGAAAGGCGUGGGGAGCAAAC
rnacentral:rRNA from 1 species